rnacentral:rRNA from 1 species
GACGAACGCUGGCGGCGUGCUUAACACAUGCAAGUCGAACGGAAAGGCCCUGCUUUUGUGGGGUGCUCGAGUGGCGAACGGGUGAGUAACACGUGAGUAACCUGCCCUUGACUUUGGGAUAACUUCAGGAAACUGGGGCUAAUACCGGAUAGGAGCUCCUGCUGCAUGGUGGGGGUUGGAAAGUUUCGGCGGUUGGGGAUGGACUCGCGGCUUAUCAGCUUGUUGGUGGGGUAGUGGCUUACCAAGGCUUUGACGGGUAGCCGGCCUGAGAGGGUGACCGGACACAUGGGAGCUGAGGUAGAGCCCAGCGUAGUGGAGGAGGCAGCAGUGGGGAGUAUAGAACGGCGGGCGGACUCCGGAUGAAGAGGCGCGGGGUGCGUGAUGGCGGCCUUGGGGUUGUACGCCGCUCGGGCGGGUGACGGAGGGUGGGUGGCGGUAGGGAGAAAAGAAGCGCGGGCUAACAACGGGAAAGAAGCCGCGGAAAUAAAGGGAGGCGCCCACGUCUGAAC